UACAGAGGGUGCAAGCGUUGUUCGGAAUUAUUGGGCGUAAAGCGCGUGUAGGCGGCUUGGCAAGUCGGGUGUGAAAGCCCUCGGCUCAACCGAGGAAGUGCGCCCGAAACUGCUAUGGCUUGAGUGCCGGAGAGGGUGGCGGAAUUCCCCAAGUAGAGGUGAAAUUCGUAGAUAUGGGGAGGAACACCGAUAACGGCGAAGGCAGUUAACUAUUCUGUUACUGACGUUGAGGCACGAAAGCGUGGGGAGCAAAACGG
rnacentral:rRNA from 1 species